GAUAAAAUUCCUAAAAACCCUAAAGACAGCAGAUUCCCCUCUGAUCUCAGGAACUUAGCAGGGCAGCCCUAGUUAGUACUUGGAUGGGAGACUGCCAAGGAAUUCCAGGUGCUGUUGGCU
rnacentral:rRNA from 11 species